rnacentral:rRNA from 1 species
CAGACGAUGCGUCAUGCAUAUCAAUAAGCGGAGGAAAAGAAAAUAACAAUGAUUUCCCUAGUAACGGCGAGUGAACAGGAAAGAGCUCAAAGUUGGAACCUGCUUGACUUAGUUAAGCCGGAUUGUAAACUGUAGAAACGUUUUCUAGGCAAGCCGAGUUAAAAAGUCCUUUGGAACAGGGCAUCAUAGAGGGUGAGAAUCCCGUCUUUGACUCGAGUAUUUUGUCUUUUUAUGAUACGUUUUCCAAGAGUCAGGUUGUUUGGGAAUGCAGCCUAAAUUGGGUGGUAAAUCUCACCUAAAGCUAAAUAUUUGCGAGAGACCGAUAGCGAACAAGUACCGUGAGGGAAAGAUGAAAAGAACUUUGAAAAGAGAGUUAAACAGUACGUGAAAUUGUCAAAAGGGAAGCGUUUGACACCAGUGUUGUUUUCUCGAAAAUCAAUUAAAAAGAGUUAGAUUUUGUUGUGUAUUGACCUUAACAGCUUGCAUUUCAAUUUUCUUGCUUUUUUAAUGCACUUUUCGUUUAACAAGUCAACAUCAGUUUCUUUUGUUGUAAAAAGGUCAUUGGAAGGUGGCUUUCUUUUCGGAGAAAGUGUUUAUAGCCUUUGCCUCUGCAAUCGGAGAGACUGAGGUCUGCAGCGUAGACUCUUCGGGGUUAGAUACAUUUGUGCUAAGUUAUAGCUUUUUAUAGACAACUUGUUGACUAUGAUUAGUCUUGUAGCUUACUCGCUUAUGCUAUUUUACCUACGCUUAGGAUGUUGAGUCGUAGAGCACGCAG